CUCGUCAGCCAGAUGCAGUUACCUUCCUCCGGCACAUCUGUCCUCACCUGGAUGAUGAGGUGUGUGAAAGGUCGAGUCAGUGCCUUGAGGAUGUCGGGGGCCUGCCCCCCUGGCUGCAGGCUAGCAGCACCCAGGGCCAGCUCACUCAGUCUCUCUAGUGCCGCAGUGGCAUUCUCCAGUGGCAGCAGUACCAACACUGUGAGCCAGUUGAAGAUGCCGUGCACGGCCGAGCCGCCGAAGGCCCUGCGGUCACACAGGGCAGGCUGUCUGCCUGAGCAGCCUCCACGGAGGCCAAGGCAGAGCCAGCCUGGCUCUUUAGCCAUUACUCACCUCUGAAAUUCAUCCCGAUCCCCUGACUGUGCCAUCGAGACCAGAGUGCUGGUGAUGGAAGUGCCCACG
rnacentral:lncRNA from 1 species